GAUGAACGCUAGCGAUAGGCCUAACACAUGCAAGUCGAGGGGCAGCAUGAUUGUAGCAAUACAAUAGAUGGCGACAGGCGCAAGGGUGAGUAACACGUAUGCAACCUACCUACAACAGGGGAAUAACCCGGAGAAAUUCGGACUAAUACCGCAUAACUCAGGGAUUCCGCAUGGAAAUAUUUGUUAAAGAUUUAUCGGUUAUAGAAGGGCCUGCGUGCCAUUAGCCGGGUGGUGAGGUAACGGUUCACCAAAGCAACGAUGGAUAGGGGAACUGAGAGGUUUAUCCCCCACACUGGAACUGGGACACGGACCAGACUCCUACGGGAGGCAGCAGUGAGGAAUAUUGGUCAAUGGGCGAGAGCCUGAGCCAGCCAAAUCGCGUGAAGGACGACUGCCCUAUGGGUUGUAAACUUCUUUUAUAUGGGAAUAAAAAGGGGAACGUGUACCCCAUUGCAAGUACCAUACGAAUAAGCAUCGGCUAACUCCGUGCCAGCCGCCGCCAUAA
rnacentral:rRNA from 1 species